UUAGCGAACGCCGUGCAAGAACAAUUCCUUUGGCAAGCCUAUUCACACUAAACUCAUAGCUGUCCUGUUCGCCAAACACUGGGAACUAUCUGGCAACUUCAGCCCUGAAAACUUCCUGAAUCCUGUUUUGGAACUACAAUUCAAUGGUUUUCUCCUGAUCCAACCACCUGAAGAGUCUAGUUCAUUCCAGUCUUGUGGUAAUUUUGGUAUGAACCCAGUUGGGCAACUGCAAAG
rnacentral:misc_RNA from 1 species